UAAUUUUAAAUUCUGUUCUUAUUAAAUUUAAUUAGCAUAAUUUUUGGUGGUCGGUCGGGGCGCAACUUUCUUACGCCGUAGCCUCUCUGUUAAUUUACUUCACGUCACAAGCUUAUUAAACAUUAUUUAAAAGGUUAGAGAGAAUACAGGAAUACAAAAUAUUCUCAAACAACGCGAAAGAUUACAAAGGCAUUCUUAAUAUGCAAGCCUUUAGGGAAUACAAAGGAUUUUCAUUGUAAAAAAAAAGAAUAACAAAAAAAUAUUACUCAGAAUAUUAAGCAACGCUCUCAAAGAGCCAUUAACCCAUUUUUCUGAAACCAUGAUGUGAACACACGACCUCCCCAUCACGAGAGAAAAUUCAUCAAAAUUAAAAUACUUCAAAAAAAACCGAUUAUCCACGGUUCGAUCCUCUUUUUCAAUUCCUCCAAUUUCUGUUUAGCCUAACAUUUCCAAAUCGAAAAUUUCUCUUUUAGAAUAAAUCCUCUUUAAUGGCGGCAUUAAUCUCGGGACGAUUCGAAUUUUUCGAACCGUCGUAAAACCAGCGCCAGUGGAAAAUUUGAUGGCCACGCUUGAACAUUUUUACGCGGCCCUAAAGUCCACGACGACGACGACGAUGAAAGCCCUGUGCGCGCCAUCACACGGAUUUCCCGUCCCGUCGUUCGACCAUGGAUCCUUUGAUAACUCUCUCGAGUUCGUUAUUCGAAACGUUAUUACAAGGUGGAAACGGUGGGCCAGACGGUGGGAGACCCCGCGCGCGGAAGAUAUUGUCUGGCCCGCCGCGAGUUAAACGUUUCGCGGUAUCGCGACAGCGGGGUUGUAAAACAGGGUGAUCCCGAUAAUGGAAAAUUUGAUAAAGCUGGGAUACGCCCCGAGUUUUAUGUCCUCGGUGGAGACGGUCCUUUGUGCCACGGCAUUCUAGACAGAGGCUGGCAGAGAUUGAUUGUAACUUGGUUUUUGUGUGUUUGGUACGUCCUGGUUCCUUGUCUUUUUUUGACAUGUUUACGGGGGAGGAGGAUGAGUUGACAAGUCUUUUAGGGCGAGAGUUUGUUGUGGCCGAGAGAAAGGUUUUCGUUAUUCGUUCCUUGCGGGAGCGGAUAACGUAAAUUGUUUUCUUUUUUUUUUUACGUUGCGAUGGAGAUUGGGAUUGGAUUAAUUAAAGCGAAAGGUUUCAAAGAUUCAGAGCCGCCUCUUAGCAAAAUUACCCAGCAAGAAUUAAGACGGUGGCUUACGUCAUUAAGAAUAUUAUAAAGCAACGUUUAUACUUAGAUCACUUUAUAUAUGUUUAUUGUUAUUCGUAUUACAUUUAAAAAAGAGUGAGAUUGAAUAAUUUUAGGCCUCUGUAUUACUCUUCACACGAAUACGAUAACGGACGAACGAUAGCAUCGAGUCACAAGUAAAAUUUGAACUUCUCGUGUGAAAAACGCGAGAAAAAAUUAAAGAUAUUGUCGUCGAAACGAGGUCGGGAAAUAGAGAAAAGCAUGCCGUUGAAGUCACUUUUUGAAUUAUCCCGAUAUCUCAAUCGGUUGCCGAGAUACAAGGCUUCGAAGUUUCCGUAGCGGGGUAGAGAUUAUGAAUGGGGCUCGGACUGACCUACAUUCUUUCCUGGAAAUGCGCGCUACGCCCUUCCAGGAAUCGCAUGCUACGUUUUUCCAGGAAUCGCGUCUGCCCGCUUGUCUGCAGUUUGGGAUAGGUCAGUGAGACGAAGUGCGAGCGAGAAGUUCGUAUAAGGGACAAGGAAGGAGAUGGUAAACGAUUAAAAAAUUACCCUUUCCUUUGCACGACGAUAUCUCGGGAACCGGAAGUCGUAUCGGGAUAAAUGAAAAAGCGUUUUAAAGGGGAAGGUUGCGCGCUUCUAACGAUCGUUCACACGUCGACCGGAAGUUAUUAUCUUCGGAGUUAUAGCGGUUCAAAGUUUUCCUAAUUUUAAUCGGAUUUAAUCGGGGUUAAGGUAUACGAUUAAAAAUUACUUUUUCUUUGUACGAAGAUAUCUCUGGAACCGGAACUCGUAUCGGGAUAAAUGAAAAGACGUUUUAAAAAGCAGGAAUCCUUGCUUCCGAUGAUCAUUUACUCAUUGAUCAGAUGUCAUUAUUUUCGAAGUUACAGUGGUUUAAAGUUUUCCUAAUUUUAAUAGAGUUUAAUCGGUUUUUACGUUAAAUUAUGUAAUAAAUAUGUUUAUUUCUGAGAAAAUAUUGUUUGUAAUUAUAUGAUAAAUACGUAUAUAUACUUGAAGAUUAUAAAUUGAAUUUCCAGAAGAGAUUGGUGGAUCGAUAUAUAUAUAUAAAAUUUAAAUUAAAGGAAGAGAGAAGAAGGAUAAUGGUAUUUUUACUUGACAGAAUGCAGUUUAUCUCAAUUUCUGUAAUUAUUACAAUUCUUCUUACUUAUAUUUAAUUGAAAUCUAUUUUAAAUCGAUAAAAAGAGUUAAAUCUAUUUUAUUAAAUUUUCAAUCCUUUUUUCCAAAGGGAAAAAGAAGGUGGGAAAUUUUUGUUCUGCUUGAGACAAAAUAUGAAUUUUGUCAAGCUGAAUGCAAGUGAAAUUGUUUUGCAAAAACAAUACAAAAUAUGAAAUGAAACGAAAUUGAUGGUUCUUUGAUGGAUAGAAAGUAAAUGAAUUUUCCUUUGUUUCCCCCAUGUUUUUAAUCUUCAGAAGUUAUAGUUUUUGUAUACGUUAUACAAUUUUCUGAUUGAAAUCGCAUUGAAAAUAUUCCAGUGUUAGUCAGUACAAAGAUAUAAAGUGCGAUUACACAGUUUUAAUAAUUAAAUUUAUAAUUGUUGAAAAAGAUUUAAUUAAAUCUUCAUUUACCAUGCGCAAAACUGAACAAAUAAAAGAAGUGGAACUAUAUUGUUUCACGUUGGAAAUAUGCGCGGAAAAUGAAGUUUCAUUAAAUUCACGCAGUUUUUUCUUCUUUCCGUUAUAAUACUUAUUUACCUUACUCUCGGGAAGUAGGCAACGAACAAUGAAACGAAAUCAAAUCUUUUUAAUAUCUCAGAUUAUGUAUCUCUAUAAUUUAAAUAUAAUUUUUUUCAUCUUCAAAUCCUAUCUUUCUUCGUUCCAAAUCCCAAUUUUUUCCUCGUAAUAUUAAUUUUCCUUGUUUCCAAUUUUCAAUAUUUCAAUUGUUCAACUUUCAAACUCUCCUAUUUUCCAUAUACCAAAGUUCUAAUCUUCCACAUCUUUCCAAAAUUCCAAAUUCCUAUCUUCUACAUUUCCAAUCCUAAUUUCUUACUCGAGUUUUUUAAAUUCGUAUCAUAGAAUACAGUUCCAAAUAUUUUCGAAAAAUUUUAUAAUUUUUCAAUUUUUAAUAUAAAUAUAAAUGAAUAAAAGUGUAAAUCAUAAAUAAAAUUCUAAAAGUGCUAACAACGAAGUUUCAAUGUUUCUUCGAUUAUUUCUCUCUUUGCUUGCCGUGAAUCGAACCAGUUUACCAUGAGUGAGAUUUAUUAAUCAUGGUAACCGUAUGAUUCGUGCAAAUAUUGAUCCUUCCAUGAUCCACAAUCCUGGUUCUUCCGGUUGUUUCAUGCUCCAGUUUCCGGAGUAUCGUAAAAGAAAAAGAAAAAUUGACAAAAGAAUUGACACGGAAAAUUCGUGACUCUUGUUUAUUGUAAAUAAAAUUGAGUAGAAUUUAACAAUUUAUCAUCCAAUUGUUUCACAAUUAGAGAAGAUUAUUAUGGAAAGAUUGAGAUCAUAAAAGGAUGAAGAAAAUAUUGAUUCGAAGAGAAAUAUGGAAAUUUUGAAAUUUGAAUUGUAAAAUUAAAUGUUUUGGUACAAAUGAAAUAAUGGAAACUUUUUAAUAUAGAUAUUUUUAUACAAUUGGAAAUUAUUAAAAGAUACAGAUAGAUUAAAACGCGUAGUUAAAUUUUCAGAGGUUAAUAAAAAAUUACAUGUAAAAUAUAAGUUUAAUUUGCAAAAUCUUCCACGCGUAAUGCGCCGCAAUUUGCGAUUCAUAAACUUGUUGAAUUGUUAAUUAAUCGCGUACAAGGAAACAACAGAAUAAAAUUAAUGUAAUUUAAACAUUUUCUUUUUUUUUUUUUUAUCAUUAUGAGUUGUGGAAUAUAAUAAAAUAUACAUAUCGAGAUUUCAUAUUUAUAUCAUCGAAUAUCAUCGAAGAUUGAUCAAAUUCACAAAAUUUUUCAUGCGAAAGCAUAUCAUGAUUUUCGAAAGAAAAAAAAAAAAAAAUAAUCGAAAAUCUGAUCAACAUUUCCACUUAAUAACGAUUAAAAUGAAGUCUCUGUUUUUUAUAGGUAGAAUUAAACGAAGAUAGAAGGUGGAUUUAUGAACGGAAUAUUUCAAAAAAUAUUUCAAUAAAUAUUACAAUUUUAAAUGUUAAAAAUAAAAAAUGAAUUUGGAAACGUCAAACAUUCCACGCAGAAUUUCGAAAGAAUCAUUCCGUUGAAACGUGUUCCCUGUUCUUUAUUUGAGAAGAAAGUUGCCUCUAAAUAGGAAAAAAAAAAAAAA